UACGUACGAGGCGAGCGUUAUCCGGAAUUACUGGGCGUAAAGCGUGCGCAGGCGGUUAUGCAAGACAGAUGUGAAAUCCCCGGGCUCAACCUGGGAACUGCAUUUGUGACUGCAUGGCUAGAGUACGGUAGAGGGGGAUGGAAUUCCGCGUGUAGCAGUGAAAUGCGUAGAUAUGCGGAGGAACACCGAUGGCGAAGGCAAUCCCCUGGGCCUGCACUGACGCUCAUGCACGAAAGCGUGGGGAGCAAACAGG
rnacentral:rRNA from 1 species